rnacentral:tRNA from 1 species
UCCUGGUUCGCUCAGUUGGUAGAGCGCUCCACUGGAAAUGGAGAGGACCCUGGUUUGGUACCAGGAAUAGGCG